rnacentral:rRNA from 1 species
GACGAACGCUGGCGGCGUGCCUAAUACAUGCAAGUCGAACGAAGCUGUUUUAACUGGUGCUUGCACCGACUUAAACAACUGAGUGGCGAACGGGUGAGUAACACGUGGGUAACCUGCCCCAAAGCGGGGGAUAACAUUUGGAAACAGAUGCUAAUACCGCAUAACCACAGAAGCCACAUGGUUUCUGUGUCAAAGAUGGUUUCGGCUAUCACUUUGGGAUGGACCCGCGGCGUAUUAGCUAGUUGGUAAGGUAAUGGCUUACCAAGGCAAUGAUACGAAGCGGAACUGAGAGGUUGAUCGGCCACAAUGGGACUAAGACACGGCCCAGACUCCUACGGGAGGCAGCAGUAGGGAAUCUUCCACAAUGGGCGCAAGCCUGAUGGAGCAACACCGCGUGAGUGAAGAAGGGUUUCGGCUCGUAAAACUCUGUUGUUAAAGAAGAACGUAUCUAAGAGUAACUGCUUAGGUAGUGACGGUAUUUAACCAGAAAGCCACGGCUAACUACGUGCCAGCCGCCGCCGUAA